rnacentral:rRNA from 1 species
GAUGAACGCUGGCGGCGUGCUUAACACAUGCAAGUCGAACGGAAAGGCCCAAGCUUGCUUGGGUACUCGAGUGGCGAACGGGUGAGUAACACGUGGGUGAUCUGCCCUGCACUUCGGGAUAAGCCUGGGAAACUGGGUCUAAUACCGGAUAGGACGAUGGUUUGGAUGCCAUUGUGGAAAGUUUUUUCGGUGUGGGAUGAGCUCGCGGCCUAUCAGCUUGUUGGUGGGGUAAUGGCCUACCAAGGCGUCGACGGGUAGCCGGCCUGAGAGGGUGUACGGCCACAUUGGGACUGAGAUACGGGCCAGACUCCUACGGGAGGCAGCAGUGGGGAAUAUUGCACAAUGGGCGCAAGCCUGAUGCAGCGACGCCGCGUGGGGGAUGACGGCCUUCGGGUUGUAAACUCCUUUCGCUAGGGACGAAGCGUUUUUGUGACGGUACCUGGAGAAGAAGCACCGGCUAACUACGUG